rnacentral:rRNA from 1 species
AUUGAACGCUGGCGGCAUGCUUUACACAUGCAAGUCGAACGGCAGCACGGGAGCAAUCCUGGUGGCGAGUGGCGAACGGGUGAGUAAUAUAUCGGAACGUGCCUUAUAGUGGGGGCUAACGCAGCGAAAGUUGCGGUAAUACCGCAUACGCCCUGAGGGGGAAAGCGGGGGAUCGAAAGACCUCGCGCUACUAGAGCGGCCGAUAUCUGAUUAGCUAGUUGGUGAGGUAAAGGCUCACCAAGGCUUCGAUCAGUAGCUGGUCUGAGAGGACGAUCAGCCACACUGGGACUGAGACACGGCCCAGACUCCUACGGGAGGCAGCAGUGGGGAAUUUUGGACAAUGGGGGCAACCCUGAUCCAGCAAUGCCGCGUGAGUGAAGAAGGCCUUCGGGUUAUAAAGCUCUUUUGUCAGGGAAGAAACAGCAGCUCUAACACAGCUGUGAAUGACGGUACCUGAAGAAUAAGCACCGGCUAACUACGUGCC